rnacentral:rRNA from 1 species
UACGUAGGGGGGCUAGCGUUGUCCGGAAUCAUUGGGCGUAAAGCGCGUGUAGGCGGCCCGAUAAGUCCGCUGUGAAAGUCCAGGGCUCAACCCUGGGAUGCCCGGUGGAUACUGUCGGGCUCGAGUCCGGAAGAGGCGAGUGGAAAUUCCUGGUGUAGCGGUGAAAUUCGUAGAUAUUGGGAAGAACACCGAUGGCGAAGGCAGCCAUCUGGACCGACACUGACGCUGAGGCGCGAAAGCGUGGGGAGCAAACAGG